rnacentral:rRNA from 1 species
UACAGAGGUCCCAAGCGUUGUUCGGAUUCACUGGGCGUAAAGGGUGCGUAGGCGGUCGGGUAAGUCUGAUGUGAAAUCUCACAGCUUAACUGUGAAACUGCAUUGGAUACUAUCCGGCUUGAGGAAUGGAGGGGAGACUGGAAUACUUGGUGUAGCAGUGAAAUGCGUAGAUAUCGGAAGGAACGCCGGUGGCGAAAGCGACGUGCUGGACCUCUUCUGACGCUGAGGCGCGAAAGCUAGGGGAGCAAACGGG